UACGAAGGGGGCUAGCGUUGUUCGGAAUUACUGGGCGUAAAGCGCACGUAGGCGGAUUGCUAAGUCAGGGGUGAAAUCCCGGGGCUCAACCUCGGAACUGCCUUUGAUACUGGCAAUCUCGAGUCCGGAAGAGGUGAGUGGAAUUCCUAGUGUAGAGGUGAAAUUCGUAGAUAUUAGGAAGAACACCAGUGGCGAAGGCGGCUCACUGGUCCGGUACUGACGCUGAGGUGAGAAAGCGUGGGGAGCAAACAGG
rnacentral:rRNA from 1 species